rnacentral:rRNA from 1 species
UACGGGGGGGGCAAGCGUUGUUCGGAAUUACUGGGCGUAAAGGGUUCGUAGGUGGCUUGUUAAGUCAGACGUGAAAUCCCUCGGCUCAACCGGGGAACUGCGUCUGAGACUGAUGAGCUCGAGUGCAGGAGAGGAACGCGGAAUUCCAGGUGUAGCGGUGAAAUGCGUAGAUAUUUGGAGGAACACCGGUGGCGAAGGCGGCGUCUGGACUGCAACUGACACUGAGGAACGAAAGCCAGGGGAGCAAACGGG